AUGUUAUCAUCUGUGGAACUUACAAGAUAUGCUCAUAGCAAACUGGAUUUUGUGCUAUUUUACACUUACAUACUCAGAAUGCUUUUACUUACUGAUGCAUCAAGAGGUUCUACUUUAUUUGAGGGCCCUGGGAAGCGGCAGAGGGCUUCACAUCUUUUGUUCAAAAUAUGCUGUUAUUUGCAACUGUACGUCCUUUGUUACUUGCAUGUUCUGUUUCUAUGCUCAGCGUUCCUGUUUAGUCCUUCCUGCUUUUUUAUAUGGCCGCCCUUCUCUGUAGUGAUGCCUGUUCAAGUCAUAUAUGCAAGUGUUGGUGGUGCUGUAAUUCAUAUGGUCAAUCACAUUAGGAUGCAACCGAGUGUGAGUGCAUAUGAGCAUUAA
rnacentral:rRNA from 1 species